CUCUAUCCUUUAUUUAUAAACACAAACCCAGCAGAAAUUCUCAAACAUCAAUGCUCAAUAUUGAACCCUCUCUUCUUCAAAUACCCACUGAAAAUUGUAUCUUAAUCUAAACCCACCAGAAAUUCUCAAAUGUUAUUCUACAUACCAAAAGACUUUAAAAUUAAGACUAUUCCGAACAGAAAUACAUCAAAUUUUGAGCAUUGAUGUUAUAGAUGGCAGACAGUCUUCCAUAUUUGGACCCACUUGGGAUAUUCACUUCGAUCCCCCUAUUUGGUCUAAACCUGUAUUAGUAGGUGGAAUGUGAAUGAUUGUACCUCUUUUGCAUCACCUUUCUCAUCUUUGGUUGGCACAAUCUUUCAGGAGUAACUAUAAUAAUUUAUGUGGAUGGUAGGACUCUUAAUGUUUCUGCGAAAGUACGUACACCAUAUAGAUGAAGUUGAAUCUUCUUGCAAGGACGGACUUGAGAAGUCUGAUAAUGGGAUCUGUAAGAAGUUAUGAAUCCGACUUUAAAACCUCAAAUUGAGCAACUGAUUCCUCGCUUCUGUUCUGGAAACUGGAAAGUGAGUAUAGCUACAACAGGAGACUGUCUUGUCAUCUUAAAACUCUGACUCCUGAUUUUUAUCCUUUGCUACUAGAAAAGCAAAUGAAGCAAUCAAGCAGCAUAGUGGAUAGUAUAAGGUGGCAGAAGAGGCUGCUCAAGUCCAUCCUGGAUUUCAUCUAUAUCAUAAAGUUAGCAAGUAAUCUAGCUAUCUUGUGAUGUUUAUCCAUUAAAAAAAUUUCUCUAGCUAAUUCGCAUCUCAACUCAACAACGCAUUUUAUUUAUGGUGUGCCGAAAAAGAAUAUCACAUGUAAGGGUAAAAGUAAAAUGCAAAGAGAAACAUAUAAAAAUAAGAGAGUGAACAAAAUAAAUAGAAUAAGAUUAAAGAAUAGAUGCUAAUGGAAAUAAUUAAAUGACAAAAGAAAAUUCCAAAUAUACAUGGGUUGAAAAUUUCCUAUACAAAAGCACUCCCCACACAUACAAACACACAUACACAUGAAACAAAUAAAGGUUAAACACAAAAAGGCAUGAACACCAAACUCAGCAGAAAUUUCAAACAUCAAUGCUCAAUCUAAACCCACCAAAAAUUCUCAAAUGUUAUUCUACAUACCAAAAGACUUUAAAAUUAAGACUAUUUCGAACAGAAAUACCUCAAACUUAAAUCAAAUUGUAAAAGUUUUGUAUAAUAAUCAAAAGGAAAGAUAGAGGCUAAAAUAGCUAAAGAUGAAGCAGAUGCAGAAGUAGAGGAAGGGUCCCCCUCCAUAUCUCUAUCUCCAUAGUAGAGUUAUAUGUAUAGCUUUCUCACUCAGUCAGUCUAAAGAAGGGACAUAAAUAAGAGUUGGAGAAGAGGGGGCUUAAUAUAAACCCACCAGAAAUUCUCAAAUGUUAUUCUACAUACCAAAAGACAUUAAAAUUAAGACUAUUCCGAACAGAAAUACAUAUAAUAUUGAGCAUUGAUGUUUUAGAUGGCAGACAGACUUCCAUAUUUGGACCCACUUGGGGUAUUCACUUCGAUCCCCUUAUUUGGUCUAAACCUAUAUUAGUAGGUGGAAUGUGAAUGAUUGUACCUCUUUUGCAUCACCUUUCUCAUCUUUGGUUGGCACAAUCUUUCAGGAGUAACAAUAAUAAUUUAUGUGGAUGGUAGGACUCUUAAUAUUUCUGCGAAAGUACACCAUAUAGAUGAAGUUGAAUCUUCUUGCAAGGAAGGACUUGAGAAGUCUAAUAAUGGGAUCUGUAAGAGGUUAUGAAUCCGACUUUAAAACCUCAAAUUGAGCAACUGAUUCCUCGCUUCAGUUCGUGAAACUGGAAAGUGAGUAUAGCUACAACAGGAGACUGUCUUGUCAUCUUAAAACUCUGACUCCUGAUUUUUAUCCUUUGCUACUGGAAAAACAAACGAAGCAAACAAGCAGCAUAGUGGAUAGUAUAAGGUGGCAGAAGAGGCUGCUCAAGUCCAUUUUGGAUUUCAUCUAUAUCAUAAAGUUAGCAAGUAAUCUAGCUAUCUUUAUCUUGUGAUGUUUAUCCAUUUAAAAUUUUUCUCUACCUAAUUUGCAUCUCAACUCAACAACGCAUUUUAUUUAUGGUGUGCCAAAAAUGAAUAUCACAUGUAAGGGUAAAAGUAAAAUGCAAAGAGAAACAUAUAAAAAUAAGAGAGUGAACAAAAUAAAUAGAAUAAGAUUAAAGAAUAGAUGCUAAUGGAAAUAAUUAAAUGACAAAAGAAAAUUUCAAAUAUACAUGGGUUGAAAAUUUCCUAUACAAAAGCACUCCCCACAUAUACAAACACACACACACACAUAAAACAAAUAAAGGUUAAACACAAAAGGUAUGAACACCAAACUCACCAGAAAUUCUCAAACAUCAAUGCUCAAUCUAAACCCACCAGAAAUUCUCAAAUGUUAUUCUACAUACCAAAAGACUUUAAAAUUAAGACUAUUCCGAACAGAAAUACCUCAAACUUAAAUCAAAUUGUAAAAGUUUUGUAUAAUAAUCAAAAGGAAAGAUAGAGGCUAACAUAGCUAAAGAUGAAGCAGAUGCAGAAGCAGAGGAAGGGUCCCCCUCCAUAUCUCUAUCUCCAUAGUAGAGUUAUAUGUAUAGCUUUCUCACUCAGUCAGUCUAAAGAAGGGACGUAAGUAAGAGUUGGAGAAGAGGGGGUUUUGUGUAUUUAUAAGCAACAACUUAUAACAACAACGUAAUGAGGAAGAAUUUAACAAAUAGAUGUUGAGAAAUUAUACUGUGACUUCAAUGGGAACCUGAUUAUCAAUUCAGCUGUCGAAAUACGUCGGAGGUGUCGAGGAAAGUGACGCCGGACACGUCACAGGUACUUUCUCUAUGCUCUACUCUGGUUCGUAAAUUAGGGGCUGGGUAUUAUAUUUAGGGUUGGGUAUGAAAGAUUUGGGACUGGAAUUAGGGAUGGGUACGAGAGAUAAAAGAUUUAGGGGAGUUGAGAGGGUUGGGUAUGAGAGAUAAGCUCUGUGUGUAAGAAGAGAGAGAGAGGGUUUGAAAUUU
rnacentral:lncRNA from 1 species